UACGAAGGGGGCUAGCGUUGCACGGAAUUACUGGGCGUAAAGGGCGCGUAGGCGGACAGUUUAGUCAGAGGUGAAAGCCCAGGGCUCAACCUUGGAAUUGCCUUUGAUACUGGCUGUCUUGAGUUCGGGAGAGGUGAGUGGAAUUCCCAGUGUAGCGGUGAAAUGCGUAGAUAUUGGGAGGAACACCAGUGGCGAAGGCGGCUUACUGGUCCGGGUUCUGACGCUGAGCGCGAAAGCGUGGGGAGCAAACAGGG
rnacentral:rRNA from 1 species